rfam:Aedes albopictus isolate Foshan contig85588, whole genome shotgun sequence.
UAGCCUAGUGGUUAAGGCUAUGGAUCGCCAAUUCGAAGACGGCGGGUUCGAUUCCCGU